rnacentral:rRNA from 1 species
UACGGAGGGUGCAAGCGUUAUCCGGAUUCACUGGGUUUAAAGGGAGCGUAGGUGGGCUGGUAAGUCAGUGGUAAAAUCUCCGGGCUUAACCCGGAAACUGCCGUUGAUACUAUCAGUCUUGAAUGUUGUGGAGGUAAGCGGAAUAUGUCAUGUAGCGGUGAAAUGCUUAGAUAUGACAUAGAACACCGAUAGCGAAGGCAGCUUGCUACACAAUUAUUGACACUGAGGCUCGAAAGCGUGGGGAUCAAACAGG